UCAAAAUCUUGUUUGGGGUUCAAUUUAUGGAAACCCUAGUUUUAGGGUUUCCAUAAUUCCCUCAAAUCUUUUUCACACUACUCCUUACUCUUCAUCAAUCAUCUGUGUAGUACCAUUGUGAUACUCCCUGAAACCAUGGUAAUUCUUCUCAAUUUUAUGUCAAUCCUUCCCUUCUCCGUUCAAUCACGUCUUCUUCCUCUUUCACCGUUUUUGUUUUUGUUUUUUCCUCCAAAUCUUUCCGUUUUUUACACUCUGAUUUGAUACCAUCUUCGACGCUAAAGUCCUUUAGUUUUCCUCUCCCAACCUCAGAAUUUCUUCGUGCAAAACGUUUCGUUUUCCUCUUCGAAUCUUUGUUCUCCGUGUCAAAGUUGCCAUGUUUUGGGAGUGGGAAUUUUUUAGAAAUGUUUGGUUCUUUUGGUGUUGUGGGGCAGAUUCUUGGUGGGUGUUCUUCAAAUUACAGAAAUGAAGGAACUACAAACAUUACACAAACAUCACAAGAAAAUUUACCUUUUACUGGUGAAGAAAAUUUACCAUUAUCUGUAGGAUCACCAAAUGGUAAAAUCAGAAAACGAAGCCUUUGAUUCAACUUUUCCAUUUAGCUCAAAUAAGAAAUCUGAUAUGAAGGUGAAGAAUGAUGUUUCUGGGGAUAGUUCCAGUACACAAGAAGAGAAAAAUGCAGAAAUGGAGCAAAUUUUAGGUGGGAAUUCACGUGGAAAAUCAACUAGAAAACAAACUAAAGAGAAAUCUAAUAAUAGUGCUGAGGCUCCUAAGGAAAGUUAUAUUCAUGUGAGAGCUAGAAGAGGGCAAGCCACAAAUAGCCAUAGCGUCGCUGAGAGGGUAAAUUUCUAGUUUUGAAGAGAGAAAUUUCUUUUGUUUAAUUAUGUUAGAUGUGUGAAACAAACACUUUGAUCAAUAGGUGAGAAGGGAGAAGAUAAGUGAAAGGAUGAGAUUGCUUCAAGAACUUGUUCCUGAAUGUAAUAAAGUAACUGGUUGAAUCUAUUUUUUUUGUUUUUCUUCGAUGAAGUUUUUGUUUUGAUUUUGUUAUAAGGAUGAUUUGAGUUGGAAAUUUGAGAUAUGUAUGUGUUGAACUGAGGUUGGACAUAAUUAGGCAAAACUGAAAAAAGAAAGAUAUUUUUCA